UGUAGGACACUCUAUACGGAGUUACAAAAGAAAGUUAUAAAUGAAGCGGUCUGGAAAGGCCCGCCAAAGACGGUAACAGCCCGGUAGUUGAAAUGGCUUUCCCUCCAGAGUGGAUCCUGAGUACGGCGGAACACGUGAAAUUCCGUCGGAAUCCGGGAGGACCAUCUCCCAAGGCUAAAUACUCCCUAGUGACCGAUAGUGAACCAGUACCGUGAGGGAAAGGUGAAAAGCACCCCGGAAGGGGAGUGAAACAGUUCCUGAAACCGUGUGCCUACAAGUAGUUAGAGCCCGUUAAUGGGUGAUAGCGUGCCUUUUGUAGAAUGAACCGGCGAGUUACGAUUUGUUGCAAGGUUAAGCGGAAAAAGCGGAGCCGUAGCGAAAGCGAGUCUGAAUAGGGCGCAUAAGUAACAGGUCGUAGACCCGAAACCAGGUGAUCUACCCAUGUCCAGGAUGAAGGUAAGGUAAUACUUACUGGAGGUCCGAACCCACGCACGUUGAAAAGUGCGGGGAUGAGGUGUGGGUAGCGGAGAAAUUCCAAUCGAACUUGGAGAUAGCUGGUUCUCUCCGAAAUAGCUUUAGGGCUAGCCUCGAGGUAAAGAGUCAUGGAGGUAGAGCACUGUUUGGACUAGGGGCCCUUCUCGGGUUACCGAAUUCAGAUAAACUCCGAAUGCCAUGUACUUAUACUCGGGAGUCAGACUGCGAGUGAUAAGAUCCGUAGUCGAAAGGGAAACAGCCCAGACCACCAGUUAAGGUCCCCAAAUAUAUGUUAAGUGGAAAAGGAUGUGGGGUUGCUUAGACAACCAGGAUGUUGGCUUAGAAGCAGCCACCAUUGAAAGAGUGCGUAAUAGCUCACUGGUCGAGUGACCCCGCGCCGAAAAUGUACCGGGGCUAAACAUAUUACCGAAACUGUGGAUGAACCUCUUCGGAGGUUCGUGGUAGGAGAGCGUUCUAAGGGCGGUGAAGUCAGACCGGAAGGACUGGUGGAGCGCUUAGAAGUGAGAAUGCCGGUAUGAGUAGCGAAAGAAGGGUGAGAAUCCCUUCCACCGAAUAUCUAAGGUUUCCUGAGGAAGGCUCGUCCGCUCAGGGUUAGUCGGGACCUAAGCCGAGGCCGAUAGGCGUAGGCGAUGGACAACAGGUAGAGAUUCCUGUACCAGUGCUAAUUGUUUAACCGAUGGGGUGACACAGAAGGAUAGGGAAUCGCACGAAUGGAAAUGUGCGUCCAAGCAGUGAGUGUGA
rnacentral:rRNA from 1 species